rnacentral:tRNA from 1 species
UCCUUGGUAGCUCAGCGGUAGAGCAAUUGACUGUUAAUCAAUUGGUCGGGGGUUCGAAUCCCUCCCAAGGAGCCA